rnacentral:rRNA from 1 species
AUGGCCCAGGAGCGCUGCCUGCUCAUGAAGGGGGUGAUCAUAUUCACCGACCCCUACAUCGUCCGCUUCUCCAACAUGGACUUCCCGCACGACCCACUCAACAACGAGUGGAACUGGAACGAAGGAGUUGGUUUAAAUGACAGUUCAACUCAUCCUCAUCUGUUUUCUCUUGUUUUUAUUGAAGAAGAGAACCCAUCCCCAUCCGUAGAGCAGGCCGCGGGUGAGGGACGAGAGCGGCCCAAAUUCCCAACCCAAAUCACGGGCCCAGCUUUGCCGACUCUGCUGCAUCUCUCCCCUUUCUCUCCUCGCCGAGCGGAGACGAGGACGCCCCGCCCGCCGGACCACCGACGGCGCAAGCCACCGCCACCUCCAAGGAAGGCCGUACUCUUCGUGCUGCGGCUACUCGCCGGCGCAGCGAGUCUCCCGAGUCCCACCACCGCGGAUCGCCGGCCAUCCGUCCAUGGCAGCGUCGUCCACCACCGGCGUCAGCAGGACCAGCACGGCGGCGGGCAACAACGUCAGCACCGAGUUCGGCCUCGCUCCCCAAACCUCCCAUCCCGCCUGCCGCCACCACCACGGCCGCUCAAGGUUCCUUUAAUGGACCGUUUUCUCAAACUGGAAAGUAUGUACCUGCACCUCACUCCAUAUCAAGAUCCUGCAACAGGACGAGAUGAAGGGAUGCUUGAAUAUAUCCCUUCCAGUAUGCUUGCACACGUAACUUCAUAUUGA